rnacentral:rRNA from 1 species
CGGGUACAACGAGUCGCAAGCUCGCGAGAGUAAGCUAAUCUCUUAAAGCCGUUCUCAGUUCGGACUGUAGGCUGCAACUCGCCUACACGAAGUCGGAAUCGCUAGUAAUCGCGGAUCAGCAUGCCGCGGUGAAUACGUUCCCGGGCCUUGUACACACCGCCCGUCACACCAUGGGAGUUUGUAACGCCCAAAGUCGGUGGCCUAACCUUUAUGGAGGGAGCCGCCUAAGGCGGGACAGAUGACUGGGGUGAAGUCGUAACAAGGUACC